GAUGAACGCUAGCUACAGGCUUAACACAUGCAAGUCGAGGGGCAGCGGGGAUCUAGCUUGCUAGAUUUGCCGGCGACCGGCGCACGGGUGAGUAACACGUAUCCAACCUGGCCCAUACUCGGGUAUAGCCUCUCGAAAGGGAGAUUAAUCCCCGAUGUUGUUGUUUCACCGCAUGGUGUUGCAACCAAAGAAUUUCGGUAUGGGAUGGGGAUGCGUUCCAUUAGCUUGUUGGCGGGGUAACGGCCCACCAAGGCGACGAUGGAUAGGGGUUCUGAGAGGAAGGUCCCCCACACUGGAACUGAGACACGGUCCAGACUCCGACGGGAGGCAGCAGUGAGGAAUAUUGGUCAAUGGGCGAGAGCCUGAACCAGCCAAGUAGCGUGAAGGAUGACUGCCCUACGGGUUGUAAACUUCUUUUGUUUGGGAAUAAAGUUCAGCACGUGUGCUGUUUUGUAUGUACCAUUCGAAUAAGCAUCGGCUAAUUCCGUGCCAGCAGCCGCCGUAAUAC
rnacentral:rRNA from 1 species